rnacentral:rRNA from 1 species
GAUGAACGCUGGCGGCGUGCCUAAUACAUGCAAGUCGAGCGAACAGACGAGGAGCUUGCUCCUUUGACGUUAGCGGCGGACGGGUGAGUAACACGUGGGUAACCUACCUAUAAGACUGGGAUAACUUCGGGAAACCGGAGCUAAUACCGGAUAAUAUUUCGAACCGCAUGGUUCGAUAGUGAAAGAUGGCUUUGCUGUCACUUAUAGAUGGACCUGCGCCGUAUUAGCUAGUUGGUAAGGUAACGGCUUACCAAGGCAACGAUACGUAGCCGACCUGAGAGGGUGAUCGGCCACACUGGAACUGAGACACGGUCCAGACUCCUACGGGAGGCAGCAGUAGGGAAUCUUCCGCAAUGGGCGAAAGCCUGACGGAGCAACGCCGCGUGAGUGAUGAAGGUCUUCGGAUCGUAAAACUCUGUUAUUAGGGAAGAACAAACGUGUAAGUAACUAUGCACGUCUUGACGGUACCUAAUCAGAAAGCCACGGCUAACUACGUG